GAUGCAGAGUCAGCAUACGACGGCGCCGUAGAAGAAGAAGGAGAACGAGCAGGUGAAUGCUGAGCAGAAGUUCCUGGAAGACAGAAGUUUAACCAGGUCAGAGAGCCGCAGCACAGUUCGGUAAAUAUAACCACCGACUGUGGAACAUUUUACAACGGGCAUGCUUUCAGGGUAUGAAUAUGUAGUUAAUGUCAGGUGAGAGGUUACUGCAAUACACGAUGGGUAUAGGACCCCUUAAACCAACCCUGACAACAAAGUGUCUCCCACGAGGGUAGUUCCUCCUGAUCUGCGUCACACACAUUUUGCGUUCUGGAGAAAAUCUAACCUCUAUGUUGUCCUCUUUCUGUUGACGUGUACAUCAGAAACCAGGGACCAUGGACAUCUCAUACCUGACUUCUUUAGGUGAGAUCUGAGACACCCUGAGAGGGAAGCACACCUGCACCUGCUGCUUUCUCUGGGACAGAUACAGUUAAUCCAUUAAGAACACAAAGCUGAGACACUACAACGCCUCACAGAGAGGUCAUCCAAGGAAAAAAGGUGCCACUAUCUCCAACGAACUUUAUCAGUUUGAUCAGGAAACUCAGGAAACUCAUCAAAAAUUAACUUUGGUUGAACUUGAGACAACUUUUACAGGCAAUAUAACUGCAACUUUUACAGACUUUGAGGCAAUGCAGUGACUCCCAUAUUGUAGUCGUGUCUGUUUUUAAUGCAGUACCUCCUGAGGGCUCAAAAAUCACGGCUAUCCGACAUUAUUUUUGGCCUUGUCAGAUUGUUUUUAUGUACUGUAGAGGAUUAAAUCGACUAAAUCUUGAUAUUUGACACUCGCGAACUUUAUUCUGAAAUGACUGAACUGUUUGCCCAUGCAGUCUCUCACAGAGUGGUGAACUUCUUCCCAUCUUUACUUUCUCUCUGAAUGUCCUUUUAUACCCAACAGGGGCGGACUGGGACCAGGCAACACCAGGCCACCAGGAAUCGUCCCGGUGAUCCAGAUGGUCCAGUCCACCACUGAUACCCAG